CGGCUGACAGUUCUGCUGGAAAUCAGCCAGUCUUGACCUGAUGGACCAGACAAAUUUGAAUACAGACACAGAAUGAUUCAACUAAAAUGACUGCCUCCAUUUGAGAAAACGACCCACGCUAACGAAAAUGUGUCCAUGUUGACCCCCAGAACCACCUUUGCAGUCCCCUGGAAGAAAACAUUUCCAAAUUAACCAGGAUUUUUUAAUGAGAAAUAAUAAGAGUGGUUGACAAGUCACCAUACGAAAGGUAAACACUCUCUCGGAUGGUCCAGG